rnacentral:rRNA from 1 species
AGAGUUUGAUCCUGGCUCAGGAUGAACGCUAGCGGCAGGCCUAAUACAUGCAAGUCGAGCGGCAAGUCGAGGAGUAAUCUAAGACCUAGAGCGGCGUACGGGUGCGUAACGCGUAUGCAACCUACCUCAUACAGGGGGAUAGCCCGGAGAAAUCUGGAUUAAUACCCCAUAGUACACAGUGAAGGCAUCUGAGUUGUGUUAAAGAUUUAUCGGUAUGAGAUGGGCAUGCGUCUGAUUAGCUAGUUGGCGGUGUAACGGACCACCAAGGCGACGAUCAGUAGGGGUUCUGAGAGGAAGGUCCCCCACACUGGCACUGAGAUACGGGCCAGACUCCUACGGGAGGCAGCAGUAGGGAAUAUUGGGCAAUGGUCGGAAGACUGACCCAGCCAUGCCGCGUGCAGGAAGAAGGCGUUCUGCGCUGUAAACUGCUUUUAUCUGGGAAGAAAAGGCCCAUGCGUGGGACAUUGCCGGUACCAGAUGAAUAAGCACCGGCUAACUCCGUGCCAGCAGCCGCGGUAAUACGGAGGGUGCAAGCGUUGUCCGGAUUUAUUGGGUUUAAAGGGUGCGUANGCGGCUAUUUAAGUCAGCGAUGAAAGACUUCGG